CCAUCUUUUACCCCGUAUUAACACUGCGGCUGAUGAGGGCUGUUAAACCAACCAUCAGCCUCGCUGUCAAUACGAGGUAAGGGCUGA
rnacentral:pre_miRNA from 1 species